rnacentral:rRNA from 1 species
UUCGCCCUUAGAGUUUGAUCCUGGCUCAGGAUGAACGCUGGCGGCGUGCUUAACACAUGCAAGUCGAAUGGGAAUUACUUUAUUGAAACUUCGGUCGAUUUAAUUUAAUUCUAGUGGCGGACGGGUGAGUAACGCGUGGGUAACCUGCCUUAUACAGGGGGAUAACAGUCAGAAAUGGCUGCUAAUACCGCAUAAGCGCACAGAGCUGCAUGGCUCAGUGUGAAAAACUCCGGUGGUAUAAGAUGGACCCGCGUUGGAUUAGCUGGUUGGUGGGGUAACGGCCCACCAAGGCGACGAUCGGUAGCCGGACUGAGAGGUUGAACGGCCACAUUGGGACUGAGACACGGCCCAGACUCCUACGGGAGGCAGCAGUGGGGAAUAUUGCACAAUGGGGGAAACCUUGAUGCAGCGACGCCGCGUGGAGGAAGAAGGUCUUCGGAUUGUAAACUCCUGUUGUUGAGGAAGAUAAUGACGGUACUCAACAAGGAAGUGACGGCUAACUACGUGCCAGCAGCCGCGGUAAAACGUAGGUCACAAGCGUUGUCCGGAAUUACUGGGUGUAAAGGGAGCGCAGGCGGGAAGACAAGUUGGAAGUGAAAUCUAUGGGCUCAACCCAUAAACUGCUUUCAAAACUGUUUUUCUUGAGUAGUGCAGAGGUAGGCGGAAUUCCCGGUGUAGCGGUGGAAUGCGUAGAUAUCGGGAGGAACACCAGUGGCGAAGGCGGCCUACUGGGCACCAACUGACGCUGAGGCUCGAAAGUGUGGGUAGCAAACAGGAUUAGAUACCCUGGUAGUCCACACCGUAAACGAUGAUUACUAGGUGUUGGAGGAUUGACCCCUUCAGUGCCGCAGUUAACACAAUAAGUAAUCCACCUGGGGAGUACGACCGCAAGGUUGAAACUCAAAGGAAUUGACGGGGGCCCGCACAAGCAGUGGAGUAUGUGGUUUAAUUCGACGCAACGCGAAGAACCUUACCAAGUCUUGACAUCCUGCGACGAUGCUGGAAACAGUAUUUUCCUUCGGGACGCAGAGACAGGUGGUGCAUGGUUGUCGUCAGCUCGUGUCGUAAGAUGUUGGGUUAAGUCCCGCAACGAGCGCAACCCUUACUGUCAGUUACUACGCAAGAGGACUCUGGCAGGACUGCCGUUGACAAAACGGAGGAAGGUGGGGAUGACGUCAAAUCAUCAUGCCCUUUAUGACUUGGGCUACACACGUACUACAAUGGCGUUAAACAAAGAGAAGCAAGACCGCGAGGUGGAGCAAAACUCAGAAACAACGUCCCAGUUCGGACUGCAGGCUGCAACUCGCCUGCACGAAGUCGGAAUUGCUAGUAAUCGUGGAUCAGCAUGCCACGGUGAAUACGUUCCCGGGCCUUGCACACACCGCCCGUCA